rnacentral:rRNA from 1 species
ACGCACGCUGGCGGCAUGCCUCACACAUGCACGUCGAACGAGACCUUCGGGUCUAGUGGCGCACGGGUGCGUAACGCGUGGGAAUCUGCCCUUGGGUUCGGAAUAACUCGCCGAAAGGCGUGCUAAUACCGGAUGAUGACGUAAGUCCAAAGAUUUAUCGCCCAAGGAUGAGCCCGCGUUGGAUUAGCUAGUUGGUGAGGUAAAGGCUCACCAAGGCGACGAUCCAUAGCUGGUCUGAGAGGAUGAUCAGCCACACUGGGACUGAGACACGGCCCAGACUCCUACGGGAGGCAGCAGUGGGGAAUAUUGGACAAUGGGCGAAAGCCUGAUCCAGCAAUGCCGCGUGAGUGAUGAAGGCCUUAGGGUUGUAAAGCUCUUUUACCCGGGAUGAUAAUGACCGUACCGGGAGAAUAAGCUCCGGCUAACUCCGUG